UUUUAAACAGGGGAGGAAAGUCGGGACAACGCAGGGUACCAUACUUCCUAACGGGAAGGCCUCGCCUUAGGCGGGGACAGCAAGUGCCACAGAAAAUAACCGCUUAUGCCGGAGUCAGAGGGUAGGCAAGCCUGCCUUCGCUAAAGCUUCGGCAGGCAAGGGUGAAAACGUGGGGUAAGAGCCCACGCGACCGGUUGGUGACAGCCGGUUGGGGUAAACCUUAUGGGUUGCAAGGCCAAAUAUUCCGGCACUCUUGCCUCUGGCAAGAUAAGGGCGACCCGUCCGACGCCGGUGGGUAGGCUGCUAGAGUUACAGGGCGACCUGUAAUCGAGAUAAAUGAUAGAAGUGCUGCUCCGUGCGGCAUACAGAAUCCCGCUUACAGGCCUGA
rnacentral:RNase_P_RNA from 1 species